rnacentral:lncRNA from 1 species
GGUACCUGGCACUGCGUGUCUAUAUUUGCGGCCAGUGAGUAGCUCUUACUCUGGGUAUAUCUAUUACUGCGAAUUUCUGUUUACUGUGUUGAAUCUGUAAACGUGCCUGUUACUUUAAUGUGAGUAUCCAUUACCUGUGGGUUUCUGGACCGGCAUAUCCUUGUGUGUGUGUGUGUGAGACAUUAUCGUGUGGCAUUCCACCAGCUUCCCUCCCAAUGGCAGUUCCGGGGAAGGCUGUGUUCCUGACUGGAGCAGGACAAAGACACUUUUCCCCUGGAAAUGGUCCGUGUGUUGAGCUGGGAAGGGUAAUUGCAGGUAAUUUCUUUGUUUACCGUGAUCCAGGUUCCCGGGUAGGAAGCUGUGCCAAGCGAUGCCUCGGUCGCCGUGGUUACGGCUGGCAGCUCCCAGUGACUCAUGGCCCCAGAAGCAGCAGGAGGCCUCGCCGGCGAACUUCUCCGGGCUGGGAGCUGCUGCCAUUUCGCAACGCCCGCAGGGACAGACAGCAUGGCGGCACCAGGAAUCUGCGGCCACCUCUGGGCCCGCUGGAAGAACAGGACCGGGGUUUUCAGUAAGGAUGCCGGCCCGCCUGGGAACUGCACUGAGAGGGGACGAAGAUUCUGUUCUCUCCGAGAAUGACGGUCCUGACCAAAACACUCCCAUUCCACCAAACAAGCUGGAAUUCCUAAACCUUCUCAUUUGAAAACCACGUCACUGGUCCAAACUCCACAGAGCCCUUGGGAUACGCCUGGCAUCACCAAGUCAGAGUUUCCCUCUGACUCUGAAAACGAUCCAUCAGUGUAUCUGGCCUGGUUGGAACUAUGCAAAUAACUUGAUAAAGAAGUUAGAUGAAUAUGCUUAUUUGGAGUAAUAGUCCCCUAGAGAGUGUAACAACACUUAGAUUACCACAUGGUUACGGGAUGAUAGAAUCUGUCCUCUCUUUCAAAUAGCUUAGAAAUUACUUAGACCUUAUUGUUUAUUAUUAUUAUUGUUGUUAUUGUUAAUAAUAAUACUUUGAGCUCAUAAAGUACCUUCCAAGUAAGGUACUCAAACUCUUGGCAAACAUUAAUUAAGCCUCAUAGCUCUCCUGUGACGUGGGAAGAUUAAGUAUUAUUAUGCCCAUUUGGGAGAUGAGGAAAUCAACUCAGAGAAGUUAAGUGAGAUGCCCCAAGGUCACGCAGUGAAUCAGCCCGCGCGACUAGAACUCAAGAAACCCGACUCAGAGAGCCCCAGCGCCCGUGUCCUGGGCCAGCAUAGCUGGGCCCUGGACCAUGUGGGGACCUGUUGUAUUGUACUCUCCCAAGUGUUUAGUACAGUGCGUUGCCCAUAGUAAGCAUUUAAUUAAUACAAUUGAAUGAAUAAAUUAAUGGAUGGGAGCUAUUUGAGCUGAUGAGGGUGGGACACAGAGCUUGCUGGGAAGAGUCAGCCGGAGAGAGAGCGAAAUGGACACAGAGAAUGGGAUAGAAAGGCAGACAGUGAUAAAGAGAUGGAAAAGGGCAAAGGGAGAGGGAGACUGUGAUAGAAAGACAGAGACAGAGAUAGAGAAGGGAAGAGGGAGAGGAAAACAGUGACAGAGAGGCAGAGAGAGAGAGAUAGAAAGGCAGACAGCAAUAGAGAGAGAGAGAGAAAGACAGAGGGAGAAAGAGACAGUGAUAGAAAGGCAGAGACAGAGAUAGAAAGGCAGAGACAGUGAGAGAGAGGCAGAGAAGGGCAGAGGGAGAGGAGAUCAUGAUAGAAAGGCAGAGACAGAGCUCGAGAGACAAAGAGACAGUGAAAUAGAGAAAGACAGGGAGACAGUGAUAGAAAGGUAGAGACAGUGUGAUAAAGAGGCAGAGAGACAGUAUGAUAGAGAGACAAUAAGAGAUAGUUUUAGCAAGGCAGAGAUAGAAACAGAAGGGCAGAGCUAGAGACACCAAAAGAAAGACAGAGACAGAGAUAACAAGGCAGAGAUGUAGCUAUAGAAGAGAAUCCGUAAUAGAAAAUCAGAGAUGGAGAGACAGCAAUGAAAAGGUAGAGACAGAGAUAGAGGUUGAGAUAGAGAGAGACAGAGACAUUAAUAAAGUUGCAGCCCCCGAUCACUCCCUGGCCAGGGAAUGCAGUGGGGUGGGAUGUAGGGGACAGCACCCUCCUAGAUUUUUAAUCCAUUUGUCUUGGGGCUCGGGGAGGUGGCCUCGGGCAGAAAUUAUGAAUAACAGCAUAAUCAUGUUAGUUUACAGUUCAAUGGAGAGUCCUCAAGGAGCUCCUUUAAGGGUCCUCCAGAGAUCUGGCAAUCUAGCUAGCCCCGUUGUCCCCCAGUGCCUGCCGGGAGCCCCCUCUGUUGACAAAAACCUACCAUGGAAAGUUACUUUCCCAGGAAGAAAUGGCCAUCCUAUGGACUCUGAUUCAGGAAGGGACCAUCCUAAGGGAAGCAGAGUCCAGUCCCCGCUUCCUGUUUCUUCCUGGAUUGGGUUCCCGCAUUUCAGAAAGCCAGGGUUCCUGGUUACAGUAUAAGGCACCAGAAUGCUCAUGUACAAGGGACUGGGAAUCUCCUAUAUAAAGGGUUCAGGGCUCCCAUAUCUAAGGGCCCAAAAUUCAUACACAAAAGGGAUUCAAAUCCACAUAUGAGGAACCAGGAUUCUCAUAUAUAUGAGGCUCAAGGCUGCCAAAUAUAAGGGGCUCAAGACUCCUAUAUUUCAGAGAUCUAGACUUCCUGUCUACAGUACUAAGUUGCUCAUAUCUAAGGGACCUGGGUCCUAUAAGACCCAGGGCUGCCAUGUAUAUGGGGCCCAGGACUCCCACAUUUCGGAGACCCAGGACACCCAAAUUUCAGAGCGCAAUUCCAGAGAAACCACCUGAAAACUG